rnacentral:rRNA from 1 species
UGGGGAAUAUUGCACAAUGGGCGCAAGCCUGAUGCAGCCAUGCCGCGUGUAUGAAGAAGGCCUUCGGGUUGUAAAGUACUUUCAGCGGGGAGGAAGGGAGUAAAGUUAAUACCUUUGCUCAUUGACGUUACCCGCAGAAGAAGCACCGGCUAACUCCGUGCCAGCAGCCGCGGUAAUACGGAGGGUGCAAGCGUUAAUCGGAAUUACUGGGCGUAAAGCGCACGCAGGCGGUUUGUUAAGUCAGACGUGAAAUCCCCGGGCUCAACCUGGGAACUGCAUCUGAUAAUGGCAAGCUUGAGUCUCGUAGAGGGGGGUAGAAUUCCAGGUGGAGCGGUGAAAUGCGUAGAGAUCUGGAGGAAUACCGGUGGCGAAGGCGGCCCCCUGGACGAAGACUGACGCUCAGGUGCGAAAGCGUGGGGAGCAAACAGG